CUACAGGUGUUGGGCUGCGGUGUCGU
rnacentral:piRNA from 1 species